rnacentral:rRNA from 1 species
AUGGCUCGGGAUGAACGCUAGCGACAGGCUAACACAUGCAAGUCGAGGGGCAGCAUAAAAGUAGCAAUACUUGGUGGCGACCGGCGCACGGGUGAGUAACGCGUAUGCAACCUACCUAUCAGAGGGGAAUAACCCGGCGAAAGUCGGACUAAUACCGCAUAAAACAGGGGCACCGCAUGGUGAUAUUUGUUAAAGAAAUUCGCUGAUAGAUGGGCAUGCGUUCCAUUAGGUAGUUGGUGAGGUAACGGCUCACCAAGCCGACGAUGGAUAGGGGAACUGAGAGGUUGGUCCCCCACACUGGUACUGAGACACGGACCAGACUCCUACGGGAGGCAGCAGUGAGGAAUAUUGGUCAAUGGGCGGGAGCCUGAACCAGCCAAGUCGCGUGAAAGGAAGAAGGAUCUAUGGUUCGUAAACUUCUUUUGCAGGGGAAUAAAGUGCAGGACGUGUCCUGUUUUGUAUGUACCCUGAGAAUAAGGAUCGGCUAACUCCGUGCCAGCAGCCGC